GCCCGUCUCAUGUGAUAAGAAUUUAUCAAACACAAGUCAAAAUAGUAACUCCAAAGCAUCCUCCAAAUCACUAAAACAAAAAAAAUCCAUUCAUAGUUGGAGAAAAUGAAGCUCAUUGGAAAUUAACAAAGUAAAUUGAGCAUCAAAUGGUAGAAUUCCUCAAAAGCAUACUUCCUUAGGCAACUACCAAAUCUCUUAACACUACAAGUAACUCUCAGACUCCAUAGGUUUCUCACAAAUGCCAAAUCAGAUUGAACUCCACUCAAGCACCCACCUACCAAGCAUAAUUCACAUACAUAGAAGACAUCUGAGACAAGGAAGGAGAGAGAG
rnacentral:lncRNA from 1 species